CCCACCCCCUGGUCGGCUACAAUAUGACUUGAAGACUCUUAGAGAUGGAGAAUGGCUACCUGACUUAAUCAUUGAGGAAUAUCUGAAGUUAAUCAAGACGGAAUGCAGUACAGAGAACCAUAAAGUUGAGUACUUUGACUGCACUGCAUACACGAGUCACCUACGAAGCAAGCCAGUCUUCAGAUACUACAAAAGGCAUCGAUUGAAGACAAGCAAGGAUGUAGCAGGCAGUGACAUAGUUUUCUUACCUGUGCACCAAUUUGAUCACUGGGGACUAAUGGU